GGGCUUUCCUGCGUGGCUGUGGGCGUGCAGGGAGCUGUGCUGCGUCCGGAGAGGCAGGUGCUGGCCCCGCUGCUCCAAUGCAGAGCAUUCAGCUGCCUCGGAGCGGGUGGGAACCUGCGAGCAGCGCUUGUGGUCACUCUGAUCGUUGUCUCCCGCCCGGGGCGAGGGCUGUGGCAUCCAGGCGUUCUCCUGCUCACCCGUGUUUCCCACAGCCUGGAGGGCUCUGGGUAUGAGCCAUGUGGAAUUUAUUUGUUGUUUGUUGUUUUUUUUUUUUUCCCCGGAAGAUGUCAAAGGACUCCUUGGAGUUGCUGAUUGUUCUCUUCCCUGGAGCAGUUCAACUGGUAGAAAUCUAGCGAGGGCAUUGGCAGCUUUUUCUUCAGCAUCAUCCAGUCCUGCUGAGAGGCACUCGACACAGAGCGGUGGUAAAAUGCUGGCAGAGGUAAAGCCCUGCUUGUUCUAGCUCUCCUAUCGCUCUUACCACCAGCCAGAGGGAAGCUGUAAGCCACAGAGGCCGGGGUUAGAGGAGUCAAAGAGAUUGCGAAUCCUCGGAGGUGCGUGUCUGCAUUGCCGCUGGCUGGGUUUGCAGCGGUGGGGGAUUGAGCUGGUCUCUGACAAGGCAGCGAAUCCAGAGCUGCUGUGCUGGGGAAUGCUCUGAAACGCUCUCAGGCAGGCGCUGCAGUCAGGCUUGUUGAAUUGCUGCAGCUCAUCUCUGCGCCAGGCGGUGUUUCUCUUACGGCUGGUUGCGGUGUUAAACGCUACGGCAGUAAAGAGGCUUUGUUGUGGUCUCUGCAACGUUGCUUUCGCCUUGGCUAGCAGCAGUCUUUUUGUUGGAAUAAAUACUUUCCCUGGAGUUGGCUGUGGGGGCAUGUGUGGGCACGUGUGUGUGCCGCUGCUUUUGGGUAUACAUUGGACACAGCUGUGAACAGGCAAUUCUGGUAGGUUCAGCACUUGCCCAAACUUGUUGCUCGCGAGCGCCAGAAUGAUGUGCUCUUCCUCACUGUUGGGAAUGCUGGCCGCUGUCAUGAGCUUUUGAAAAUGCUUGAAUGAAAUUAAUAGAUGCUUUCCAGCCACAUGCAGAAAUUGUUGCUAGCAUCUGGCCCAGUGCUGUAUUUGGUCUCAGGAAGUGGUCAACUUUUG
rnacentral:lncRNA from 1 species